rnacentral:lncRNA from 1 species
AUGGGGUUUUUGGGGGCUGUCUCUGGGGUUUUGGUGUUCCUCAUUGGGUUUUUGGGGUUUCUGUCUGUGUUAUUUGGGGCUCCUGACUGUGUUUUUGGGGUUCCUGGCUGUGUUUUGGGGGUUCCUGAUGGGGUUUUUUGUGUUCCUGGCUGUGUUUUUGGGGUUUCUGACUGUGUUUUUGGGUCCCCAGCCCCGUGUCCUGGUGAUCUCGUGUCCCCAGCACCGAGCUCUGUUAUUUGGGGUUACUCUGUGGGUUAUUUGGGGUUUUUGGCAGGGUUUUUGGGGUUUCUGAUGGGUUAUUUGGGGUUCCUGAUGGGGUUUUUGGGGUUCUCUCUGUGUUAUUUGGGGUUCCUGACAGGGUUUUUAGGGUUCCCAGCCCCAUGUCCUGCUGAUCUCACGUCCCCAGGACCAGGCUGUGUUUGUUAUUUGGGGUUUCUCUCUGGGCUAUUUGGGGCUCCUGACAGGUUUUUGGGGUUUUUCCCACUGGGCUCUGUUUGUUAUUUGGGGUUUCUCACUGGGUUAUUUGGGGUUUCUGAUGGGGUUUUUACCCCAGCCCCAUGUUCUGGUAAUCUCAUGUCCCCAGGGCUGAGCUGUGUGGGUUAUUUGAGUUUCUCUCUGGGUUAUUUGGGGGAUCCUGACUGUGUUUUUGGUGUUCCUGAUGGGGUUUUUGGGGUUCCUGACUGCGUUUUUGGGUCCCCAGCCCCGUGUCCUGGUGAUCUCGUGUCCCCAGCACUGAGCUCUGUUAUUUGGGGUUACUCUGUGGGUUAUUUGGGGUUUCUCGCUGGGUUAUUUGGGGUUUCUCUGUGGGUUAUUUGGGGGUUUUUUUUGGGUUAUUUGGGGUUCCUGACUGUGUUUUUGGGGUUCCUGAUGGGGUUUUUGGUGUUCCUGGCUGUGUUUUUGGGUCCCCAGUCCCGUGUCCUGGUGAUCUCGUGUCCCCAGCACCGAGUUCUGUUAUUUGGGGUUACUCUGUGGGUUAUUUGGGGUUUCUCGCUGGGUUAUUUGGAGUUCUGA